rnacentral:rRNA from 1 species
UAAUUUAAAGUCUAACCUGCCCAAUGAUUAAUUUUGAAUGGCCGCGGUAUUUUGACCGUGCUAAGGUAGCAUAAUAAUUAGUUUUUUAAUUGAAAACUGGUAUGAAUGGUUGGACAAAGAAAAAGCUGUCUCAAGUUUAAUUUAAUUAGAAUUUUAUUUUUAAGUUAAAAAGCUUAAAUAUAUUUAAAAGACGAGAAGACCCUAUAGAGUUUUAUAUUUAUUAAUUAAAUUAAAUUUUAAGAAUUAUAUAUUUUAUUUAAUAGGUAAUAUUUUGUUGGGGUGACAAAAAAAUUAAAUUAACUUUUUUUAUAUUUCAACAUAAAUUAAUGAGUUAGUGAUCCAUUAUUAAUGAUUAAAAGAUUAAAUUACCUUAGGGAUAACAGC